CAGCCAUACGGCAGCAGCUGCCUGUUGACGGCAGCGUUGGAUCCUCUGACCACAGCUGAAGCUUUGACCAACAAAAGUCCCAGGGAGCUGCUCAGGGCGGGAUCAGAAAAGAGGGUGCUUAGCAAGCCACACGCCACACACCCUCCCUGGGAGGCCCUGACAGCGCUUCUCUCCCUCCCAUUUUCGCUCUGGCAGCCAUCGUGGCGCAGACCGUGGAGCAGGGGCAGCUCUUACCCCUGGGUCUGGCAUCAGGAGCGUGUCCCACCGGCUCUGUUGCCGCAGCCUCAAAGCCCCACGUGGGGCAGCAGCCGGAUCGGCACUGGGGGAGCCGGAAUCCAUCAACCUCGGCCUCAGAUCAGCAUCCGCCCAGCCCUCCUGCCCCACAUCCGAGCCAUUUCAAGGGCUGCAGGGACAUUGGGAUGAUGGGGAAGUGGGCCGAGGACAGCCCCAGGGAAGGCUUUGUCUGAACUCCUCAAAUCACCGGGCGCUGACAUUUGGGAUUUUUGCCUUCCUGGCGCACCCCCACCCCACAUGCACACUCACGUGCAUGGCGUCGGCAGGAUGUGGGUGCUGCAGAGGUGCCCCCACUUCUGUGUCUCCCACGCAGCCCCGGGAACCUGGGCCCCACAGGAGCCAGGAGCUGCAGCACAGGACCAAGAAGCUUGACCUUUUCUCCCCAACUGCUAAAUCGCCAGUCCUUUGGAGCAACAGUGUCCUCUACAUAAAGGAGCAGUUA
rnacentral:lncRNA from 1 species